AUUUAAAAUAUAAUAUUACAUUGCUUAUGCGCAUGCUUGAGCUAUUUGUAUCCUACAAAAGUCCCAAAUGACAGACAUAUUUCAGUACUUUAUUGAUAAUCACCCCAAAAUGACUACCCAGGAUUAUGGUACGCCUUUAGAUAGCAAUAAAUCAACAACUAAGAAAAUUGAAGAACAUAGCAGUCGUCAAUGCACUUUCCGCAUGAAAAAGUUGAAAAAAAAUGGUGUCGAAGUUUAUGUUUGGUUCAGAUUCUGCUCUUGUGAAGAAUUCCCAGAUAGAUCAGAAGAUUACAAAAAGAUCGCAGAUGGUGACAGCUCACCAUGGAGCUAUUCGAUAAAUGGAAUUUAUGUCCACUCAAGGAAAGAAUGUCAGCAUCAGCGUGUAACUUGGCUUGGUUGGAGUGGACGUUACAAAAUCGAAGAAGUGUGUCAUUGUCAGUGAAGACCGUAAAAAGGGGAAAUGAUAAAAAACUGCCUGCGAAAAGAACAAAAGUAUAUUUAAGUGUUCUGACAUUACGAAAUAAAAGAAUUUUACUCUUAUUAUUCUUGUGUAUGAUUCACACUGUAAAUGUAACAAAAUAACCUCGGAAACUAAAUUGAUUCGUCUUUGUAAUUAUAUGCAUCUAUAGAGAUCGAGGUUUAAAAAAGAGACUAACUCUACGAUUUUUUCUAUAACUUUUGAAUAAAGUGAUAUGUAACUAAUUUAUAAAGUGUCAAAUACAAAGAUUACUUUGUUUUACAAUAUUUAUACGUUUAUUAGUAGUAUGUCUUUUGCCUGAAACGGACACUAAUGAUGUGAAGUUUUAAGGAAAAAUAAACAAACAAAUCAAUGAAUAAAGGAAUACAAGUAUCAAACAAAGACCAAUUUUUUAAAUGCCAGAAAAAUAAAUUUGAGUGUACAAGGUUUCAUUUCUUGGUAACAACCUGUAUUGAAUGAGUAAAAAAAGAUAAAGACUGAAUAAAAGAAAGGUAUACGUAUAUUUAAAAGCAUUGCACAUGGGCCAAUAAUUGAAGACCUUAAUAUAAAUUUUUAUGCCACAGCUGCUAGUGUUGUAUACAUAACGAAGGAUGCGAGAUUUUAGUUCAUUUCCAAAGGAUAUUAUUCGCUCCUCAAAAGUUUUGGAUAACGAAGUCCAUUAUAGUAGAGACUGCAGGUGCGAACGUCGUCGUUUGUACCAUGUUCGUCUACUACAGAAAAUGUGUUUGCAGGGAAUAUCGCAACAUGCUUAACGCAUUUGAACAUACAGCCGAGAAUCGCCCAUUGCCCACUGGUCAUAUCAAUAUUGAUGGAGUUGAUAUUCACGCAAACGCACAGUGCCACCUAUGUUUACCUGACAGAGAAACCUUUUGGAGCAAAAAUAUUUCAACUUGAAUGUCACUGUAACAAGAACAGGAAGUAAAGAGAAAGAAAUUCAAUAUAUGUAAAUAUCGAUUGCAAUUUUAGUUACAUUUAAACAAUAGCUUCAGAGCAAUUAACUCAACAAAUAGAAAGCCAUUUUCAAACCGGAAGGAUAAGCUAGCAUGUUACUAGAAUAUAUAUUUUUUCAGAGAGGGGGGGGGGGGGUGUUAAAGAAAAACUAUUGACAGUGUGUACAAUCCCGGAAAUCUUUAUUUUUUGACUUUAGAGGUGUAUUUUAAUUCCAGGCAGUCGAACAAGAAAAUGAAUAUAGCCAACUUUGCAUUACAUUGAAAAGGAAAAACCAACAUAUCAUGGGAAGAAUUGAAAAGAAAAUUGUAACCUAUAAUGCUCAAGAGAGCUUGAAAUUUGUUUUAUAAAUGUCAUUGUUGUAUCAGCCA